UACGUAGGGUGCGAGCGUUGUCCGGAAUUAUUGGGCGUAAAGAGCUCGUAGGCGGUCUGUCGCGUCGAUCGUGAAAACUUGGGGCUUAACCCUGAGCUUGCGGUCGAUGCGGGCAUGACUGGAGUUCGGCAGGGGAGACUGGAAUUCCUGGUGUAGCGGUGAAAUGCGCAGAUAUCAGGAGGAACACCGGUGGCGAAGGCGGGUCUCUGGGCCGAUACUGACGCUGAGGAGCGAAAGCGUGGGGAGCGAACAGG
rnacentral:rRNA from 1 species